rnacentral:sRNA from 1 species
GCCUGUUGGGGUGCAAUCAUAUGCACAUGCCCGUCGAUAGCCGCCGCCGUCAAAAUCAGGUGUUCGCCCGAAAUGGCAUCGGUAGCGGCACCCGUCACCAAUUCAGGAGUCACACCUUUCAUGGUAUUCGGAUUACCGGCUUUUCCGACACCGGCAAUUUUCCCGUCUUUAAUUCCGACAUCGGCUUUAAUAACUCCCAGUAUCGGGUCGAUAAUCGUCACAUUGGUAAUCACCAGAUCGAGUGUACCUCCUUCGGCUGUCGUCGUAUUUGCCAAUCCCAUCCCG